UGCGUAGGCGGGCUAAUAAGUCAGUGGUGAAAUCUCUCGGCUCAACCGGGAAACUGCCAUUGAUACUGUUAGUCUUGAGUUCGGUUGAGGUAGGCGGAAUGUGUAAUGUAGCGGUGAAAUGCUUAGAUAUUACACAGAACACCAAUUGCGUAGGCAGCUUACUAGACCGACACUGACGCUGAGGCACGAAAGCGUGGGGUGCGAACAGGAUUAGAUACCCUGGUAGUCC
rnacentral:rRNA from 1 species